GACCAUGAUUUCAAGCUGCGCAUGAGCUGAAUGAUGCGCAACUCAGGACUACUUUCAGUGUCAAAGAGAACCACAGAAGGUCUCUGAUCAGUCAGUGUUGCAGCAUUUCCAUGGAGAGAAAAGGCCAAGCAUGUGGGUGUUCAAUGGAAAUCCAACACCCAGAGUUUCCUUUGGGAUUAACAAUGGGCAUCUGGUGUGCAAAUGUCAAAGUACGUGUGUGUAUGUGACCUCUUCCCUGCUCCGUAUUGCUCGACUGUUCAAUAUUUAUCUUCUGGAUGUGGAGAGGACCGCCUUGAGGACGACUUGAGGAUUAAUGCAAUCCUCAAACAGAAUACAACAUGUCAGAUUUUCUCACCAUCUCUGCCCCAUGGUCACCACAUGGGAUGGUUUUUGCAAAGGGGAGGAAAUUCAACCCUGAACGAAAAGGAGGCAAGCUAAUUGAGUCUAAACAGAUUGCCUUUUCUGCACAUAAUGUAUUUGAUAAGGCAGCAAAUCAAAUUGCUUUCAACAAUUUUUAAUAUUUAAGCAGGACCUUUAUACAAUCUUUAUAUCCUGACGGUGUAAGACCUCUAUAUAUUAAUACGAAAAAGGCAGUGAUUCACUUCAUGAUGGAAUCGUUAGUCCAGGAAAAGUCAUCAGAUUUUUUUCUCUACUAUUAAACUCACAAAUGGGUCAUUUUUGAUCCAUAAGACGACAGCAAGGUUGAAAUAACCAAGAAAAUUGAUGGAUUUUUUUCCCCGCAAAAUUUGACUACACUGGCUAAAAAGAUCUGCAGCCACCAGUUCAUCUGUGUCUCCUCCUCACCCUCCCCAGCCGUCAUCUCCAUGUUUGAACCCCUGCCUGCCUGUCCUAUCCCAGGCUGCUGCCUGACAGGCAGCAAACCAGGCCUGACAGGUGGCCAGGCAGUGUCACAGGCUCACCGCAGAGAGCAGUGCCUGUCUCCACUCAUUUCCUCCUUCCUGCUCCCCUGACCUGAGCCCCACUGCUCUAAACCUCAACCCACUCCAUCCACCCUCCUGCCAGGGGAACAUAAUGCCAAACAUGGAGGCUUCCUUUUUUUUUUACGGACAAGCUGUUGAAACGGGUUUUCUUCCAGCUGUCUGGUUUUGUUUUAAUGUAUGCUUUUGUGCUGCAGGUGAAAAUUUAAUUGUAGAAUAACAAACUGCAGAAGGAAAUCUUGCAAGGUGUAAAUAUAAGAGGUGGUGCUCUUUUUAGAAAAUUGUUUAUUUCUUCUUUACUGUCUGCUUUCAUCAAAAAUGGAAAUAUGUGCAUUCUUUGUUGC